CCUACGGGUGGCAGCAGUGAGGAAUAUUGGUCAAUGGACGAGAGUCUGAACCAGCCAAGUAGCGUGAAGGCUGACUGCCCUAUGGGUUGUAAACUUCUUUUAUAUGGGAAUAAAAUGUUCCACGUGUGGGAUUUUGUAUGUACCAUAUGAAUAAGGAUCGGCUAACUCCGUGCCAGCAGCCGCGGUAAUACGGAGGAUCCGAGCGUUAUCCGGAUUUAUUGGGUUUAACGGGAGCGUAGGUGGAUUGUUAAGUCAGUUGUGAAAGUUUGCGGCUCAACCGUAAAAUUGCAGUUGAUACUGGCAGUCUUGAGUGCAGUAGAGGUGGGCGGAAUUCGUGGUGUAGCGGUGAAAUGCUUAGAUAUCACGAAGAACUCCGAUUGCGAAGGCAGUUCACUGGACUGCAACUGACACUGAGGCUCGAAAGUGUGGGUAUCAAACAGGAUUAGAUACCCUUGUAGUC
rnacentral:rRNA from 1 species